UGUGUCUAAACUAGGAAGACAUUUUCCAGGGCUGAGGUAAGGAGAGCUGAGAAGGCAAAGACUGCGAAUCUUGGGAACAGAGCACAAGCUUCUAGCUGCUGUUCCUGAAUCAGAGGAUCUCCCAAAAGUGAUACAGACCAGGGAUCGGUGAAUACUGGGUAGAAGACGGCGGUUUCCUGGCAAAGGCCCCACCAUCAAGCCUGAAGACCUGCAGCCCUAAAUGAGGACAGAUGUGACCUGCAAGCAAGGAGACGAGGAGGCAAGCAGACCAGCAGACCAGCAGACCAGCAGACCAGCAGACCAGCAAUGACGGAAUGAUGUGGCAGACAAAGAGAGAGGAGGAAGGAUGUCUGGACACCGAGGGGAGUUUGGCCAGGGGCAGUCAGAAAAGAGUCCCACCACUGGGAGUCCUGACUGCAGGGGAAGACCACCUUCCCUCUCCAUUCCCCCUUCUGGCUCCUCAUCCAUCUUGCUGAAAGCCAUCUCCACCACUCAAUA
rnacentral:lncRNA from 1 species